CAAUAGCGUAUAUUUAAGUUGCUGCAGUUAAAAAGCUCGUAGUUGGAUUUCGGGUGGGAAUGGCCGGUCCGCCGUUUCGGUGUGCUCUUGCUACGCCCACCUUGCUGCCGGGGACGUGCUCUUGAGUUCACGCUCGGGACACGGAGUCGGCGAGGUUACUUUGAGUAAAUUAGAGUGUUCAAAGCAGGCCUACGCUCUGAAUACAUUAGCAUGGAAUAACACGAUAGGACUCUGGCCUAUCUUGUUGGUCUGUAGGACCGGAGUAAUGAUUAAGAGGGACAGUCGGGGGCAUUCGUAUUUCAUUGUCAGAGGUGAAAUUCUUGGAUUUAUGAAAGACGAACUACUGCGAAAGCAUUUGCCAAGGAUGUUUUCAUUAA
rnacentral:rRNA from 1 species